GGCUGCUCUGUCUGUGGAGUAGCCAUUCUUUUAUUCCUUUUUUUCUUAAUAAACUUGCUUUCACUUUGCACUGUGGACUUGCCCUGAAUUCUUUCUUGCGUGAGAUCCAAGAACCCUCUCUUGGAGUCUGGAUCAGGACCCCUGUCCUGUAACAUCUUCCUGGAGAUCAUGAAGGGACUAUAGUGAGAAAACCCUGACUCAAUGGCUACCUUUGGGUAAAUGUUGGGGUCCUGUAACAUCUUUCUGGCAAUGACAGAAGUGACUAUACUUCGGAAACCCCUGAUCCAACAAAAGCUAACUUUGGGUAAGUGGUGGGGUCUGGUAACAUCUUUCUCUCGAACCACAAAAGGGACAAUACUGAGGAGACCCUCCGACGCAAAGGAAAUAGACUGGAGCACUGAUUGGACAACUUUGGCUUGGCCCCCAGGGCAAUGGUGCUGCAAGCUGGAUCACUGGGGCCGCUCAGGGAAAGGGAAUCCAGAAGCCUGGCAUGCUGACAAAAGGAUAUUGCCUUUUCUCAAAACUCAAGAGUUAUGAAUGGACCUUACCAUACUGAUGCUUUCUCACUGAGCUCCUGUCUACUCUGAAUGCAAGAAACCCUCAUAGUUAGGCAGGAAUAUCAUAAUCGCUAUUCAGCCUGAAGAAGUUAAAGAAGAUGGAUCUUCAUCCCUCUGCAACUCUUACGAUUAAAGAGUUCUCUUAUAAAAGGGGGGGGGGGGGGGACAUGAGAGGUGUGUGAACCAGAGCAACUCCAUCUUAAAUAGGAGCUGGGUAAAAUGAGGCUGAAACCUACCAGGCUGCACUCCCAGACAGUUAAGGCAUUCUAAGUCACAGGAUGAGAUAGCAGGUCAGCACAAAAUAAAGGUCAUAACAACCUUACUGACAAAACAGGUUGCAGUAAAGGAGCCAGCCAAAACACACCCAAACCAAAAUGGCAACAAGAGUGACCUCUGGUCAUCCUCACUGCUACACUCCCACCAGUGCCAUGACAGUUUACAAAUGCCAUGGCAACAUCAGGAAGUAACCCUAUAUGGUCUAAAAAGGGGAGGCAUUAAUAAUCCACCCCUUGUUUAGCAUAUCAGCAAGAAAUAACCAUAAAAAUGGGCAACCAGCAGCCCCAAAGGGUUGGCUAUGGAACAGCCAUUCUUUCAUUUCUUUACUUUCUUAACAAACUUGCUUUCAUUUUGCACUGUGGGAUCACCCUGAAUUCUUUCUUGCAUGAGAUCCAAAAACCCUCUUGGGGUCUGGAUCAAGACCCCUGUCCUGUAACAAUCCCACUCUGUUCUCCCUGUUCUUUGUGCUCCAGUCACACUGACCUUCUUUUGUUCCCUGACCACAACAUGCUUCCUCCAGCAAUAAGGUGGCUGCCACACUGCUCCAUCUGCUGGGACCCUCCCCUGCCCCAAUGCCUCCUGUAUCACUUUCUUGGGGAAUUUCUCCCUGACUUCCAGGCAAAGCUCUCAUAAACAGUGUUCCUUUCCUUCAGAGCACUUAAUUCAGUUUUAAAGCAAACAUUAUUUAGUUUAACUAUCUGAAUUAAUUAUUUUAGUUAUUUGCCCACUUCCUUCAAUAGACUGUGGAAUUCCUGAAAGCGAGACCAUGCCUGGCUCUACUCACCACUGUAUACCCAGCAAAAUGCCUGGUAUAUAGCAAACACUCAAUAAAUAUUUGUUGAAUGCAUGAAUGAAUAGAAAUGAUAAGUGAAAUGAGCCAGUUACAAAGUGCUUUUACCCUUGAUAAUUUCUUCUUCCCCAACAAACUGUGCAUUUUUUAGUGCAGUGAUCACAUUUCUCUUGUUCUCCAUUUUAUCCUGAAUACUUAGGGUCUGAAACUCCAAAAACAUUUAUUAAAUGAAGGAAUGAAGGACUUAAGCUUCUGAGAUUAAGCAGAAUGCCAAGAGGAGAAGAAUGAGAAAAGCAUUUCUGACUACAGAAAUAGCAAAAGCACUUAUGGUAUUGAUGUUAAAAAGCUGCCAGUAAAAGAAUGUGAUGCCUUAGGAUAUAUGGGAGCACAGCUGGGAGUCAGAAUAGGAAGGGCCACUUCAGCUGUACUGUUUAGGUGAGUAGUUCUCAUGAUGACUCUAAGAAAUAUAAAGCAGAAGCAGCAACCCAGAAAUGGGAGAAGACACAGGUGGGCAUGCAGAUGGUAAAAAAGGGGACUAUCAAGAACAUACUGAAGAGUUCAAAUAACGAAGUUGUCUGGAAAUACAUAAUGUCAGGUCAAACACUGCCAAAUACUGUCCUAAGUCCACAGGGCAUCAGAAUAUCAUAGCAUAGUAAAAUUACUUGAGUCAUCAAAAAAGGACUAAAUUACACUACUACUGCUGAACUACUUACUAAUAUUGGUUGUGGUAGUAGCUGGCUGCGGUUACAGUAGUUAGGAGGAGCAGAAAUGAACAUUUAUUGAGCACUUGCUAUGUAUUUUCUCAUUUUAUUUUCAUUACUACCCUGUUAGAUAGUUUCCACCCUCAUUUUAUACAUGAGAAAAUCAUACUACAUGGGGCUUAAGUAAUUCAUUUAAAAUCAUCCUGCUAGUAGGCGUUAACACCAGAAUUAAAACCCAGCCUGUAGCUGUGAAUCUCACACUUUCAGCCACUAUGUUAUAUUCUGAUUAAGAAAGUACAGAAAGAUGUUAACACAAUUUAGAGAGCUCCUAUGAAGAAUAACUCAAAUGAAGUUUGGCCAGGCAUGGUGGCUCAGGCCUAUGAUUCUAGUACUUUGGGAGACUGAGGCAGGAUGAUUGCUUUAAGCCAGGAAUUCAAGACCACCCAAGGCAACAAAGCUCUUGCAAAAAAUUUGUGCCACUACAAAAAAUUUUAAAAAUUAGCCAAGUGUAGGGACAUGCACCUGUAGUUCUAGCUACUUGGGAGGCAAAGGUGGGAGGAUUACUUGAGCCCAGGAGUUCAAGGCUGCAGUGAACUGUAAUUGCACAACCGCACUCCAACCUGAGCAACAGAGUCUUAAAAUAAAUGAAUAAAAUGUGAUGCUUGAUGAGAUAAGCCCUCAAAUAGCUACAAAACCCACCAACUUUCCCUAAGCAGUCUAGAUGGCUGAGGUCCUAUCAAAAUGAUGCUAAUCCAGAGUUAUCUCCAAUGCAUGACUAUACCAUGUAUUGUUACACACUGGACUGUCUAAUGUAUAGUGGCCAUUAAAAAUGGGCAAAAGAUAAGAACAGCUCACCAAAGAAGACAAACGGUAACAAAUAAGCAUAUGAAGAUGCUCAACAUGAUGUAAUUAGGGAAUUACAAAUUAAAACAACGACAUACCACUACACACCUAUUAAAACAGCUAAAAUUGAAAAUACUGAUAAAAACCAAAUGCUGGUGAGGAUUUGGAGCAACAACUCUCAUUCCUCACUGGUGGGAAUGCCAAAUGGUAUGACCACUUUGGAAGACAGUUUGGCAGUGUCUUAUAUCAUAGGCUUACCAUACAAUUUGUCAAUCACACUCCUACAUAUUUGCCCAAAUGAGCUGAAAACUUACAUCCACAUAAAAAUCUGCACAUGAAUACUUACAGUGCCUUUAUUCAUAAUUCCCAAAAAUUAGAAGCAACCAAGAUAUCUUUCAAUAGAUGAAUGAAUAAAUGAACUGUGGUAAAUCCAUGCAGUCCAUUACUUAACAACAGUGAGAAAUAAGUGUAUCACACAAAGGAUGCUUAAAUGCAUACUGCUAAGUGAAAAAAGCUAGUCUGAAAAGGCUACAUAUGGUAUGAUUCCAACUAGAUGGCGUUCUGUAAAAUGCAAUACUACAGAGACAGAAAAAAGGCCAGUGGUUGCCAGCAGUGGUGGGUAGGGUUGAAUAGAUGGAGCACAGGACAUUUUUAGGGCAGUGAAGCCAUUCUGUAUGAUACAACCAUUAGAGCUGCACAAGAGUGAACCCUAAUGUAUAACUGCUGGCUUUUGUUAAUAAUAUUGGUUCAUCAACUUUAACAAAUGUACCACACUAAUGCAAGAUAUUAGUAACAGGAGUAAAAUGAGGGAUUGGAAGGAUAUGUAUGGGAACUCACUGUAUUUUCUGUGCAAAUUUUCUGUAAACCUAAAACUGCUCUAAAAAAUAGUCGAUUAAAAUUUUUUUAAAAAAACGAAGCAUAGCUCUCCCUCUCCCUCUCCCUCUCCCCACGGUCUCCCUCUCCCUCUCCCCACGGUCUCCCUCUCUUUCCACGGUCUCCCUCUGAUGCCCAGCCGAAGCUGGACUGUACUGCUGCCAUCUCAGCUCACUGCAACCUCCCUGCCUGAUUCUCCUGCCUCAGCCUGCAGAGUGCCUGCGACUGCAGGCGCACGCCGCCACACCUGACUGGUUUUUGUAUUUUUUUGGUGGAGACGGGGUUUCGCUGUGUUGGCCGGGCUGGUCUCCAGCUCCUAACCGCGAGUGAUCCGCCAGCCUCGGCCUCCCGAGGUGCUGGGAUUGCAGACGGAGUCUCGUUCACUCAGUGCUCAAUGGUGCCCAGGCUGGAGUGCAGUGGCGUGAUCUCGGCUCGUUACAACCUCCACCUCCCAGCCGCCUGCCUUGGCCUCCCAAAGUGCCGAGAUUGCAGCCUCUGCCGGGCCGCCACCCCGUCUGGGAAGUGAGGAGCGUCUCUGCCUGGCCGCCCAUCGUCUGGGAUGUGAGGAGCCCCUCUGCCUGGCUGCCCAGUCUGGAAAGUGAGGAGCAUCUCUGCCCGGCCGCCAUCCCAUCUAGGAAGUGAGGAGCGCCUCUUCCCGGCCGCCAUCCCAUCUAGGAAGUGAGGAGCGUCUCUGCCCGGCCGCCCAUCGUCUGAGAUGUGGGGAGCGCCUCUGCCCUGCCGCCCCGUCCGGGAUGUGAGGAGCGUCUCUGCCCGGCUGCCCCGUCUGAGAAAUGAGGAGACCCUCUGCCUGGCAACCGCCCCGUCUGAGAAGUGAGGAGCCCCUCCACCCAGCAGCCGUCCCGUCUGAGAAGUGAGGAGCCCCUCCGCCCGGCAGCCACCCCGUCUGAAAAGGGAGGACCUCACAGCUCACCCUUGAGGUGUGCCGCUGACUGAACCAUUUUCUAAGCCUAGGUGGCAUCUUGGUGAAAGGCUUUCUCUGCCACCAGAGCUUUGUGUCCACAACUUACUCAGGCAAAGUGGAGGGCAAUGUCAAUAAGAAUUUGAAAAAAUCAUUUUAUGUGUCAUACUAAAUUUACCUAAAGAAAUUUAAUAUACCUAAAGAAAAAUAAAAACUAACUGCUGACUGGAUCAUACUAACUCUGAAAAUGUGAAAGGGG
rnacentral:lncRNA from 1 species